CUUAAUUUCAGGGUAGGGCUUAUUUAUUUACGGUACCGGCAUGUACAGCUCUUUCUCUUUGCACUCAUCUUGUCUGGGGAUCAAAAUACCGUACUGUCUAAUUAAUCCACCCCCCUUGAAUUAAUCCACCACCCCUUGAAUUAAUCCACCCCCUCUAAUUAAUCCACCCCCCCUCUAAUUAAUCCACCCCCUUUAAUUAAUCCACCCCCCCUUUAAUAAAUCCACCCCCU
rnacentral:lncRNA from 1 species